rnacentral:rRNA from 1 species
AAUCAACGCUGGCGGCGUGCCUAACACAUGCAAGUCGAACGAGAAAGUGGAGCAAUCCAUGAGUAAAGUGGCGCACGGGUGAGUAACACGUGACUAACCUACCCUUGAGUGGGGGAUAACCUAGGGAAACCUGGGCUAAUACCGCAUAAUACCUACGGGUCAAAGGAGCAAUUCGCUUUAGGAGGGGGUCGCGGCAGAUUAGUUAGUUGGCGGGGUAAUGGCCCACCAAGACGAUGAUCUGUAUCCGGCCUGAGAGGGCGCACGGACACA